UUGUUUAUUAAAGUUUAUCGCUUGCAACUAAAGAUGUCCGGGAAACUCAAUGAUCGCCUUGGCUUGGAUCAAACUUGGCGAUGGGUUGUUUUGGAGGGCCUUUGGAAAGUCAGGCUACUAAAUAAACCUUCCGUGUUCGCGUCUGCCAGUGGCGUUGUAUCAACAUGAAGAUGUGGGCUCUAAACUUUGAGUGCCAGGGACUGACUAUGGAAGUCUCCAUGUCGCUGGUCACCAUUGAGGUGCAAAACACCUUGAAAAAAUUGGUGAUUCUGAAUCCUUCAUCUCUAUGAACGAUUCAUGAAGAAAGAAUUAAACAAACAUUUAAUGAACAGAUUUUUUAUAAGAUUAUUAUCAAUAAUGACAUUGCAUAUGAGAGAAAAUUGUCAAAUAUAAUUUCAUUUUAAUUUAAUAUAGUUAAUUAUGACAUCACUGUAUAUAAAGAAUAUGAUUAUUAUCAUUUGGUUAAUUUCAGUAUUACAUAGUAUUAGAUAAAAAUUUUAUUGUAAAAUUGCACAUCAAAAUAUGUUUUAUUAUCUAUUAUUAGGAGGAAAUAUUAUUUAACUAUUAUUAUUAUCCCUAAUAGCCCAGUGAAUGUGACCUCUGCCUCCAAUUCCGGAGGGUGUGAGGUUGAACCCGUUCCGGGGCACGCACCUCCAACUUUUCAGUUGUGUGCAUUUUAAGAAACUAAAUAUCACGUGUCUCAAACAGUGAAGGAAAACAUCGUGAGGAAACCUGCAUACCAGAGAAUUCUCUUAAUUCUCUGCAUAUGUGAUGUCUACCAAUGUAAUCCAAAUAUGCUGGCCCAUAUUCGGCUCCUGUCAGAAUGAGAGGGGUUAGGCAUUGGCCUUCCCUUACCUUAUCAGCCGAUAGACGUCCACUGCUGGACAUAGGCCUCUUACAUGGACCUCCAAGCACAACGACCUUGAGCCGCGAACAUCCAACCAACCGACCAACCACGCUUUCCAGUGCGGGGUCUCCCGAGUGCGGGUAGGCACUAACCCCUCUUACUGAGGGAGACUCGAGCUCAGCAGUGAGCCGAAUAUGUGUUUAUAAUGAUGAUGAUGAUGAUGAUUAUUAUUUAAGUAAUUGUAAAAGAAAAAAUUGAAUACUACAUUAGUUGUUUAUCUAUACAAUUCAAUAAUUUUAAGAACAAAACAUGUACCUACCACAUUGUAGGAAAUAAAUAAAUAAUGAUUUGAUUAAAAACAAUGUUGUUUAAUGUUAAGCAGGUAGGGCCAGGUAGUUCUAUAUUUGUGUAACAUCUAUUACUUAAAAAUAAAAAAUAUAUUUACUUGU